AUCCUUUUGUAGUUCAUAAGCGUGAUGAUUGGGUGUUCAUGCUGUGUGUGAUAUGUGGCACCCUUAUAUCUUGUUACAAUGUCAGCACAUUACCCAUCUGACG